GAUUUCUGAUUCAAUCUGCCUGUCCCGGCCUUUCGGGGCUGUGUUGACGGAGUGGAUUGGUCAUCUUUCUAGAAAACCGCUCUACCCUUAAUUGGUGUGGGGUGGCGAUCUAGAUCUUUUACUUUGAAAAAAUUAGAGUGUUCAAAGCAGGCUAUCCGCUGUGAAUACAUUAGCAUGGAAUAAUAAUUUAGGACUUCGGUUCUAUUUUGUUGGUUUCUAGGACUGAAGUAAUGAUUGAUAGGGAUAGUUGGGGGUGCUAGUAUUCAGCGGCCAGAGGUGAAAUUCUCGGAUUCGCUGAAGACUAACUUAUGCGAAAGCAUU
rnacentral:rRNA from 1 species